AUUGAACGCUGGCGGCAGGCCUAACACAUGCAAGUCGAACGAGUGGCGGACGGGUGAGUAAUGUCUGGGAAACUGACCGAUGGAGGGGGAUAACUACUGGAAAAGGUAGCUAAUACCGCAUACCAUCGGAUGUGCCCAGAUGGGAUUAGCUUGUAGGUGAGGUAACGGAUAACCUAGGAGACUAUCCCUAGCUGGUCUGAGAGGCUGACCAGCCACACUGGAACUGAGACACGGUCUAGACUCCUACGGGAGGCAACAGUGGGGAAUAUUGCCCAAUGGGCGAAAGCCUGAGGCAGCCAUGCCGCGGGUAUUAUGAAGGCCUUCGGGUUGUAAAGGACUUUCAGCGGGGAGGCGUUACCCGCACAAGAAGCACCGGCUAACUCCGUGCCAGCAGCCGCGGUAAUCC
rnacentral:rRNA from 1 species